rnacentral:rRNA from 1 species
UUGAACGCUGGCGGCAUGCCUUACACAUGCAAGUCGAACGGUAGCGGGCCUUCGGGUGCCGACGAGUGGCGAACGGGUGAGUAAUACAUCGGAACGUGCCCGAUCGUGGGGGAUAACGAGGCGAAAGCUUUGCUAAUACCGCAUACGAUCUACGGAUGAAAGCAGGGGACCGCAAGGCCUUGCGCGGACGGAGCGGCCGAUGGCAGAUUAGGUAGUUGGUGGGAUAAAAGCUUACCAAGCCGACGAUCUGUAGCUGGUCUGAGAGGAUGAUCAGCCACACUGGGACUGAGACACGGCCCAGACUCCUACGGGAGGCAGCAGUGGGGAAUUUUGGACAAUGGGCGCAAGCCUGAUCCAGCCAUGCCGCGUGCAGGAUGAAGGCCUUCGGGUUGUAAACUGCUUUUGUACGGAACGAAAAGCCUUCUUUUAAUACAGGAGGGUCAUGACGGUACCGUAAGAAUAAGCACCGGCUAACUACGUG